rnacentral:rRNA from 1 species
GCCUAGGAAUCUGCCUGGUAGUGGGGGUUAACGUUCGGAACGGACGCUAAUACCGCAUACUUCCUACGGGAGAAACAGGGGACCUUCGGGCCUUGCGCUAUCAGAUGAUCCUAGGUUGGAUUAUCUAGUUGGUGAGGUAAUGGCUCACCAAGGCGAAGAUCCGUAACUGGUCUUAAAGGAUGAUCAGUCACACUGGAACUGAGACACGGUCCAAACUCCUACGGGAGGCAGCAGUGGGGAAUAUUGGAAAUGGGCGAAAGCCUGAUCCAGCCAUGCCCCGUGUGUGAAGAAGGUCUUCGGAUUGUAAAGCACUUUAGUUGGGAGGAAGGGCAUUAAAUUAAUACUUU